AAGUGCUUCACUUAGUAUAUUCUGUCAUUUUUUUCAAGGUUCCCACAUGAUCAUUCUGUUUUUAACGAGCUGAAUGCAAGGAAAGAACAAUGCCAGUAGUAUGCUCUACAGGGAUUUAUUUCGCCUGUUAAAGAAUACAUCACCUUUGUGUCUGUAUCAGAUGGAAUAUAAGCAGAUUUUUACUGACACAUGAUAUAAUAUUACGGCAUCUGCUAUAGAUGAAGAAAUAAGAAUGUGGAAGCAUAAUCAUUUGUCCGAGGUCACAGAGGGAGAUGAUUACACAGCUGGAAUGUAAGCCUCAGUACUUUACUGAAUCCUUGGCUUUGUCCAUAGGCCCAGCUACAGGCAUAAAGCUUUUCUCUUCCCCAGCAGUGACUUCGAGUACCAGCUUUCAGAUUUAUUUGACAUUGAAUCUAAGCUUUGUGACCAGUAUUUAGCAGGAGAAGAAGGGGAGGAAUUACUUAUCCCUUGGCAUACAUUAGCAUGCAAAUAAACCCUUUCUCUGCAUUGUGGAAGGGUCUGAAAUUAUCACAUAUACAAUGUAUCUUUUAUCAAUGCCCUUGAAUACAAAUAUUACUUUGAAGAAUCCAGAUUUAGAGGCCUUCUCCAAA